rnacentral:rRNA from 1 species
UGGGGAAUUUUGCACAAUGGGGGAAACCCUGAUGCAGCGACGCCGCGUGAUUUAGAAGGCCUUCGGGUUGUAAAAAUCUUUUCUAUGGGAAGAAAAUGACAGUACCAUAGGAAUAAGGACCGGCUAAUUACGUGCCAGCAGCCGCGGUAAUACGUAAGGUCCGAGCGUUGUCCGGAAUCAUUGGGCGUAAAGGGUACGUAGGCGGGUAAGCAAGUUAGAAGUGAAAUCCUAUAGCUCAACUAUAGUAAGCUUUUAAAACUGCUCAUCUUGAGGUAUGGAAGGGAAAGUGGAAUUCCUAGUGUAGCGGUGAAAUGCGCAGAUAUUAGGAGGAAUACCGGUGGCGAAGGCGACUUUCUGGCCAUAACCUGACGCUGAGGUACGAAAGCGUAGGUAGCAAACAGG